GUCUACGGCCACGCCACCCUGAACACGCCCGAUCCCGUCUGAUCUUGGAAGCUAAGCCGGGUCGGGCCUGGUUAGUACUAGGAUGGGAGACCACCUAGGAAGACCGGGUGCUGUAGGCG
rnacentral:rRNA from 1 species